rnacentral:rRNA from 1 species
AUUUAAAGAAAGCGUAAUAGCUCACUGGUCGAGUCGGCCUGCGCGGAAGAUGUAACGGGGCUAAACCAUGCACCGAAGCUGCGGCAGCGAACGUAUCACUUAAAGCGAUUCAGCGGGUUACGAUUGACGGAGCGAAGCGACGUCAAAGCGUAUACAAAGUCGAGUCGGUUUAAGGAUACGUUCGUUGGGUAGGGGAGCGUUCUGUAAGCCUGUGAAGGUGGCCUGUGAGGGUUGCUGGAGGUAUCAGAAGUGCGAAUGCUGACAUAAGUAACGAUAAAGCGGGUGAAAAGCCCGCUCGCCGGAAGACCAAGGGUUCCUGU